rnacentral:lncRNA from 1 species
UUUGCUUUAAAGUUAUUUUGUUUUUGCUUUCAGUACUGUGUCCGGUUAUUGCAUCAAGAGUAAAUGAAAAGCAGUGAAAUGCUAUUUAAGGGCGACAAAUAAAUAAGCUUAUAUAAAAAUAGCCACCCUCGAGGCAAAAUUGUUCAAACAAUAAAGAAGCCAAAAAUAGAAAAGACUAAAACCCUAGUUUCCUAAGGGUUUCCUGCAGGUUCGCCUUCUUGACAGAGAGCUCUUUCUGGAGCAACACCCCCUGAUGAAGUGAAGCCUCUGCAAUUUCCAAGGCUGGCCUGGAGGCUGCAACCAUGCUUUGCACAAGGAAGGUAGCCUUGGUCUUAGAACUCAGUCC